rnacentral:pre_miRNA from 1 species
AGCUUUCUGAAUCCGUACGAAGAUUUUGUUAGACACUAACCCAUUUAGGGCUGAUCAAACUUCCAAGAUAAGUGAAGUU